UGCCAGCCGCCGCGGUAAUACGGAGGGUGCAAGCGUUGUUCGGAAUUAUUGGGCGUAAAGCGAGUGUAGGCGGUCAGGUUAGUCAAGUGUGAAAUCCCGAGGCCCAACCUCGGAACUGCACUCGAUACUGCCUGGCUAGAGUCCCGGAGAGGGUGGCGGAAUUCCCGGUGUAGGGGUGAAAUCCGUAGAUAUCGGGAGGAACACCAGUGGCGAAGGCGGCCACCUGGACGGUGACUGACGCUGAGACUCGAAAGCGUGGGGAGCGAACAGGAUUAGAUA
rnacentral:rRNA from 1 species